rnacentral:misc_RNA from 1 species
CAGCGGCGAUGAGACUGCUCCUUUUUUCGGCUUCCUCGGAGCCGCCGCAGCUCUCGUCUUUUCUUGCAUGGGUGCGGCUUAUGGGACUGCAAAGAGUGGGGUGGGUGUGGCUUCCAUGGGAGUGAUGCGACCCGAGCUCGUAAUGAAGUCGAUAGUUCCAGUAGUUAUGGCUGGAGUUUUGGGGAUUUACGGUUUAAUUAUAGCUGUUAUUAUUAGUACUGGUAUUAAUCCCAAGGCUAAAUCUUAUUAUCUUUUUGAUGGUUAUGCUCAUUUGUCCUCUGGUCUUGCUUGUGGGCUUGCUGGUUUAUCUGCUGGUAUGGCAAUUGGGAUCGUUGGUGAUGCUGGAGUCCGGUAAUCUUUCAACUUUGCCUCUGUUGGUUUUUGUUAAAUGUCGAUUUUGUUUGUAUGAUUGAAUAUAAGCCUCUCUGUGGAUCAUCAAAGGAGUCACCUUUUAAAAUUGAUUGCUGAAGGAGUGUGACCAUAGAUUAGUUGAGGGUAGAUGCCAAUUUUCCUCAUUGCCACCCUUUGGAGCUGUCACAAGCAAACUGUGAUGUGUUUUCAUUGUUUCUUAAGAGGGAUCUAUUUCGAUCUGUAAUCAUACUCUGAUUUGUUGUGACUUGUAAUCACUAGCGGAUCUGCCUUAUCAUUUAAAUAGUGAACAUAGUUGUGCAUUUGUAGUUUUGUGGAGAACUCAGAUUCAUAUGAUUCCUUGCCAGUGUUGGGAUCAAACUUUAGCUUGCGUCUGCAUUUAUCUACCUAUUAACAGUGAAGUGACGAGGAUUGAUAUUAUGUUAGCAAUAGGAGUGGAUUUUCUGUUUUGUGACUUCUGUCUUUGGAAUUUGGAUUUAAAGGGAAUAGCUUUGUUUGGCAUGAGAGUAUACGAGAUAGAAGUUUAAAUAAUAAUCUUGACAUCUGUUGAGCCUAUUGUGUGUUCCUUUUGCUUCAAAGGUUUCAGGUUAUUGAAUGCCUGCCUAUAUUAUGAAAGCUUUCUUCUGGAUAUAUUUUGAUUGAAAUCUCUCAUGUUCCGCUUACUUGUUUUUCUAGGCUGCAGCCCUCCAUAAAUUCAAUAUAUGCAGUAUAUGUGGAUGAUUAAAUGGUAUCAUCUGUUAAAUGAUAUGAUCAUUUUCCUUGUUCUUUUUCUUGUCCAUACAUUUUUUAGGGCUAAUGCACAGCAACCGAAGCUGUUCGUAGGAAUGAUUCUCAUCCUUAUCUUUGCUGAAGCACUUGCCCUCUACGGUCUUAUUGUGGGAAUCAUUCUCUCAUCCCGAGCUGGCCAGUCUCGUGCAGAGUAGAAAUGGUUGGUGUGUGACUCUUAAUAUCAGCGAUUCAGUUAAGCAUUUGAAUUGUAUGGUAUGACUAGAAGCUGCUCAGAUUCUGUUUUAGAUUGUUCG